GGCUGGUCUGAAUGUAAGUUAUCUCAACUGAUUUUCACACUAUCAGUCACAGAUGAAACUCCUUGUUCUACUUGUUUUCCCCUUCUCACUAUUGCACUUGACUAGUCUAAA
ensembl:misc_RNA Y_RNA Y RNA